GGAGGCCCGGGUUGCGGGGGCAGGGCGCGGCCGCCGUGGGGCCUACCGGCCCGAGGCCUACCGGCGCCCCCCUCCCGCCGCACACCCCCACCUGGCCCGCGCAGGCCGCUCCGCUCGCCCCACUCCGGCUCCGGCUGGACCCCUGCCCGCCCGCCGUUGCCGCCCGCGGGCGCCCCGGAGGCCCUCAGGCCCCCGGCCUCCACCACCCGGGCGCCGGCCCCACUCACCCUUUCAUUCUCCGCCCGGGGCCUGGCGUGGGCCGGCGAAUCCCCGGCCUCACAUCAGAGUGAGAGGCGCUGGCAAUGGACUAGGAAGCUCGGCUGCCGCUGCUACUGCUCCCCCCUGGACUCCGGCGAGAGCCUUUCACUGUCAAGCAAGAGGGGUGAGGAUCAUAUUUUUAUUUUGGAAACUAAAAAGUGCUCCCAGGGUCGGUGAUUAUUAAGGGGAAAUCCCUGAAUAUACUCUCCAGCCAAGAAGGCA
rnacentral:lncRNA from 1 species